rnacentral:misc_RNA from 1 species
ACUCCGUUGGUGAACCAGCGGAGGGAUCAUUAUCGAGUUUAUAACUCCCAAACCCUAUGUGAACUUACCACUUGUUGCUUCGGCGCGCGCUUCGGCGCCGCCGAGGACACUUAAACUCUUUGUUUUUAUAAGCAUUUCUGAGUGGCCGAAAGGCAAAAUACAAAUGAAUCAAAGCUUUCAACAACGGAUCUCUUGGUUCUGGCAUCGAUGAAGAACACAGC